GCAUGCGUCUUCCUGUCGAUACGGCGACCGUCGAACAGGUGAAGUGGAGUAAGGUAUUUACAUCGGGCUGUUGCUGUGUAUAGUGCGAAUGCAAAUGAAUGGCCCACCGACCUCAACACCCAGCAGGUGUGAAGAAGCACCACCUGCCUGCCAUGUUCACCAUCACCGCUUCACGUUCACUCGACCUGCCCACAUUCCCUCCAAGAGGCUGGCUGCAGAUUCAGAGCUGCCUCUCCAAAGCCUCUGUGACCAGGUGACAUGAACACACCUGUCCUUGUCCCGUUGUGUCAGCACCAGUGGAGGAGCUUCUACAACUGACGUCAGGAGAGGUCCAACUAUCUGUAUACUAUUUACAGAGUGAAAGACGGGCACAUCACACAGAUCCGUCCCCAGGUGACUUCAGCCAUGCCCAGUUCAGCUGGACGUCAUCAUGCUUCUGCCACCUCUCAUACUGUCCUCUCCAGGUCUUCCCUCGUCUUCGUCCUGGCUGUGGCUGCAGCUUGGUGGCUGAUGGUCGUCUCUGUGCUGCUGUGGCCCCAAAGUGUCAUAUUUUACCCUUCACUACAACACAUCCUCCCCCAAGUUAUAUUUUAUGGAACAUGUGGAUUAUUUAGUCCAGAAGUUUACAUAAUUGAAAAUUGUAUAUUGUUUCAGAUAAUUUGAUCUAAAAAUAAACUUCAAGCAAAUCCUUGUCUUAUGUUGAUCUUUGUGGUAAAAAUGAGGUUCACUGAAGUUUUUCAAUAUUGACACAAAUAUUGUCUGCACUGAAUAGUUUAUGAUAUUUGUCAAAUAAGUUCUGGCUUGACUAGGAAUAUCCGUAUAUAGUUUGUGGAAUCCAUACAGAGUAAAACACUGCCUAGUGAACACAGAAAACUCAGGGUGAUCUCCUCACAGCUCCUUUUUCUUAUUGAGUAAUCUGGAUGUUGACAACAGGAAGAUAAGUUUUAUUGUCCAGAAACAACAUUUGAAGCUGUUCGUUUAGUGAGUUAUAAAACAGGUUCAUUACUUGAAAUGUUGUGUGAAGCUGUUGUAUUGCACUUUACUCUGUUUUUUAUGAUAAUAUUAUGGAUUAAAAACAUUGAGAUGAUAACCAUCUGAAAGUCUUUUUUGGGGGGUAACGCUUACCUUGUCUGAUUUAGUAAUGGUUACUAAUUGAUUAUUUUAAUCCCCGUACCACCAUGUUAUUAGUAAUUAUCAGGUACUACCCACUAGCAAUUAAGAGAUAAUUUUACCCAAUUUUAUUUUAUAGAGUAAGUAGCUGUUGAAUAUAAACAUAAAUGUGAGGUAAAUUUAAGUAUUUCAUAACUUUUUAUUUCAGUUAUUGCAUACUCAAUAAAUGGAAGUAAAUCUACCCAAAAAAAGUGGAUGCAAAUUGUUACCUCAAUUUUAUUGGCUAAAUUCUAUAGGUUACUUUA